rnacentral:rRNA from 1 species
GACGAACGCUGGCGGCGUGCCUAAUACAUGCAAGUCGAGCGAAGUUUUUCUGGUGCUUGCACUAGAAAAACUUAGCGGCGAACGGGUGAGUAACACGUAAAGAACCUGCCUCAUAGACUGGGACAACUAUUGGAAACGAUAGCUAAUACCGGAUAACAGUAUUUCUCGCAUGAGAGAUAUUUAAAAGUUGGUUAUGCUAACACUAUGAGAUGGCUUUGCGGUGCAUUAGCUAGUUGGCGGGGUAAAGGCCCACCAAGGCGACGAUGCAUAGCCGACCUGAGAGGGUGAUCGGCCACACUGGGACUGAGACACGGCCCAGACUCCCACGGGAGGCAGCAGUAGGGAAUCUUCCGCAAUGGGCGAAAGCCUGACGGAGCAACGCCGCGUGAGUGAAGAAGGAUUUCGGUUCGUAAAGCUCUGUUGUUAGGGAAGAAUGGAUAUGUAGUAACUAUACAUGUAAGAGACGGUACCUAACCAGAAAGCCACGGCUAACUACGUG